UACAGAGGUCUCAAGCGUUGUUCGGAUUCAUUGGGCGUAAAGGGUGUGUAGGUGGCGCCCGUAAGUCGGGUGUGAAAUUUCGGAGCUUAACUCCGAAACUGCAUUCGAUACUGCGGUGCUUGAGGACUGGAGAGGAGACUGGAAUUCAUGGUGUAGCAGUGAAAUGCGUAGAGAUCAUGAGGAAGACCAGUGGCGAAGGCGGGUCUCUGGACAGUUCCUGACACUGAGACACGAAGGUCAGGGAGCAAACGGG
rnacentral:rRNA from 1 species